CAGUCGCCACGGUAAAACGUAGGGUGCAAGCGUUAAUCGGAAUUACUGGGCGUAAAGCGUGCGCAGGCGGUUCGCUAAGACAGAUGUGAAAUCCCCGGGCUUAACCUGGGAACUGCAUUUGUGACUGGCGGGCUAGAGUAUGGCAGAGGGGGGUAGAAUUCCACGUGUAGCAGUGAAAUGCGUAGAGAUGUGGAGGAAUACCGAUGGCGAAGGCAGCCCCCUGGGCCAAUACUGACGCUCAUGCACGAAAGCGUGGGGAGCAAACAGGAUUAGAUACCCGGGUAGUCCCUGUCUCUUAUAA
rnacentral:rRNA from 1 species